rnacentral:rRNA from 1 species
AGUGAACGCUGGCGGUAGGCCUAACACAUGCAAGUCGAACGGCAGCACAGUAAGAGCCUGCUCUUACGGGUGGCGAGUGGCGGACGGGUGAGGAAUACAUCGGAAUCUACUUUUUCGUGGGGGAUAACGUAGGGAAACUUACGCUAAUACCGCAUACGACCUACGGGUGAAAGCAGGGGAUCUUCGGACCUUGCGCGAUUGAAUGAGCCGCUGUCGGAUUAGCUAGUUGGCGGGGUAAAGGCCCACCAAGGCGACGAUCCGUAGCUGGUCUGAGAGGAUGAUCAGCCACACUGGAACUGAGACACGGUCCAGACUCCUACGGGAGGCAGCAGUGGAGAAUAUUGGACAAUGGGGGCAAGCCUGAUCCAGCCAUACCGCGUGGGUGAAGAAGGCCUUCGGGUUGUAAAGCCCUUUUGUUGGGAAAGAAAAGCAGCAGGUUAAUACCCCGCUGUUCUGACGGUACCCAAAGAAUAAGCACCGGCUAACUUCGUG